rnacentral:rRNA from 1 species
AUUGAACGCUGGCGGCAUGCCUUACACAUGCAAGUCGAACGGUAACAGGUUAAGCUGACGAGUGGCGAACGGGUGAGUAAUGUAUCGGAACGUGCCCAGUCGUGGGGGAUAACUGCUCGAAAGAGCAGCUAAUACCGCAUACGACCUGAGGGUGAAAGCGGGGGAUCGCAAGACCUCGCGCGAUUGGAGCGGCCGAUAUCAGAUUAGGUAGUUGGUGGGGUAAAGGCCUACCAAGCCUACGAUCUGUAGCUGGUCUGAGAGGACGACCAGCCACACGGGGACUGAGACACGGCCCAGACUCCUACGGGAGGCAGCAGUGGGGAAUUUUGGACAAUGGACGCAAGUCUGAUCCAGCCAUGCCGCGUGCGGGAAGAAGGCCUUCGGGUUGUAAACCGCUUUUGUCAGGGAAGAAAAGGUUCUGGUUAAUACCUGGGACUCAUGACGGUACCUGAAGAAUAAGCACCGGCUAACUACGUGCCAGCCGCCGCUGUAACAC